rnacentral:rRNA from 1 species
ACGGGUGCGGAACACGUGGGCAACCUGCCCUGAGGUGGGGGAUAGCCGGUGGAAACACCGGGUAAUUCCGCAUACGCUCACUGACCGGAGGGUUGGUGAGGAAAGGGUCUUCGGACUCGCCUUGGGAGGGGCCUGCGGCCGAUUAGCUAGACGGUGGGGUAACGGCCUACCGUGGCGAUGAUCGGUAGCUGGUCUGAGAGGACGGCCAGCCACACGGGGACUGAGACACGGCCCCGACUCCUACGGGAGGCAGCAGCAAGGAAUCUUCCGCAAUGGGCGAAAGCCUGACGGAGCAACGCCGCGUGUGGGAUGACGCCUUUCGGGGUGUAAACCACUUUUCUCAGGGAAGAAGCACUGACGGUACCUGAGGAAUAAGGACCGGCUAACUACGUGCCAGCAGCCGCGGUAAUACGUAGGGUCCGAGCGUUGUCCGGAGUUACUGGGCGUAAAGCGCGCGCAGGCGGCGGUGUAAGCAUGGCGUGAAAGCCCCAGGCUCAACCUGGGAGGGUCGUCGUGGACUGCACCGCUUGAGGGCGAUAGGGGCUGGUGGAAUGCCUGGU